rnacentral:rRNA from 1 species
CCUACGGGAGGCAGCAGUGAGGAAUAUUGGUCAAUGGGCGGGAGCCUGAACCAGCCAAGCCGCGUGAGGGAAGAAGGUCCAGCGUAUCGUAAACCUCUUUUGUCAGGGAACAAAGGCGGGGACUAGUCCCCGGAUGAGGGUACCUGAAGAAAAAGCAUCGGCUAACUCCGUGCCAGCGGCCGCGGUAAUACGGAGGAUGCGAGCGUUAUCCGGAUUUAUUGGGUUUAAAGGGUGCGCAGGCGGCCUGUUAAGUCAGCGGGAAAAGCACGGGGCUCAACCCCGGCGAGCCGUUGAAACUGGCGGGCUGGAGUUGGAGAGAAGUACGCGGAAUGCGAGGUGUAGCGGUGAAAUGCUUAGAUAUCGCGCAGAACCCCGAUUGCGAAGGCAGCGUACCGGCUCCACACUGACGCUGAGGCACGAAAGCGUGGGUAUCGAACAGGAUUAGAUACCCGGGUAGUC